AUACGUAGGGGGCGAGCGUUGUCCGGAAUGAUUGGGCGUAAAGGGCGCGUAGGCGGCCCGGUAAGUCUGGAGUGAAAGUCCUGUUUUUAAGAUGGGAAUUGCUUUGGAUACUGUCGGGCUUGAGUGCAGGAGAGGUAAGUGGAAUUCCCAGUGUAGCGGUGAACUGCGUAGAGAUUGGGAGGAACACCAGUGGCGAAGGCGACUUACUGGACUGUAACUGACGCUGAGGCGCGAAAGUGUGGGGAGCAAACAGGAUUAGAUACCCUGGUAGUCCACACUGUAAACGAUGAAUACUAGGUGUAGGGGGUAUCGACUCCCUCUGUGCCGCAGUUAACACAAUAAGUAUUCCGCCUGGGGAGUACGGCCGCAAGGUUGAAACUCAAAUGAAUUGACGGGG
rnacentral:rRNA from 1 species